AUGGACCCUUCCAUUCCAUAUUCUUGUUGCUAUGCAUCGGAGUCGGACAACGAUGGUCCCGAUGAAGAAGUUGAUGAGGAGGGGUUCACGACGAAGGAGGCCCAAGCUUUCAAGAAGGUACUAUGGCAUGAUCAUCGGAUACCAUUGUUCAAGGAUCUUAGUCUCGCGGAUGAAGCCGUGGUUGACGGUGGCAAGGGUAUAUUUCUUGAAGUUAGGCCAACUUCUCACCGGGAUAACACGGGAAGAGCGGUAUUUCUCCCGGGAAGAAGCUCGGAACCUUCUUGGAAUUGA
rnacentral:rRNA from 1 species